UAUUGUCUGCAAGAAUCCAACACAUAGGCCUACAUAUCGUCUGCAAGAAUCCAACACAUAGGCCUACAUAUCGUCUGCAAGAAUCCAACACAUAGGCCUACAUAUCGUCUGCAAGAAUCCAACACCUAGGCCUACAUAUCGUCUGCAAGAAUCCAACACAUAGGCCCACAUAUCGUCUGCAAGACACAUAGGCCUACAUAUCAACACAUAGGCCUAUAUAUCGUCUGCAAGAAUCCAACACAUAGGCCUACAUAUCGUCUGCAAGAAUGAACCUACCAGUACAUGGAGUGUAGGAAUGGAGUGUGAGUGAGUGAAUCAGAUAGGUUCCUCAGUAUUCCAACCUCAACCCAACUCCUCUGAGCCCAUACAGACUUCUGUACCUCUAGCAAUGGAUGUUUAAUACAGUGUAGGUAUGCUUUGGGAAGUUUUAGAGGUAUACACACCGCAGAUAGAAACCACUGGUUGACCUAGAGGUUUAGAGGUAUACACACCGCAGAUAGAAACCACUGAUUGACCUAGAGGUUUAGAGGUAUACACACCGCAGAUAGAAACCACUGGUUGACCUAGAGGUAUACACACCGCAGAUAGAAACCACUGGUUGACCUAGAGGUAUACACACCGCAGAUAGAAACCACUGGUUGACCUAGAGUUUUAGAGGUAUACACACCGCAGAUAGAAACCACUGGUUGACCUAGAGGUUUAGAGGUAUACACACCGCAGAUAGAAACCACUGAUUGACCUAGAGGUUUAGAGGUAUACACACCGCAGAUAGAAACCACUGAUUGACCUAGAGGUUUAGAGGUAUACACACCGCAGAUAGAAACCACUGGUUGACCUAGAGGUAUACACACCGCAGAUAGAAACCACUGGUUGACCUAGAGGUCAGGGAGCCACUCUUCUAUAACGCUGUACUGGUGAGAGUUUUACUGUCUGUCAGGAGAC